rnacentral:lncRNA from 1 species
AAGCAGUGAUCAUAUCCCCUGACCCUACUCUAGGAAGAGGGAACACCCCCUUCGAGACUGUCUUAGGCUCCGAUGCCGACACUAUUCCAAGCCUGGUACAAAGCAGGGGAGGAGAGAACGAGGAACAAUUCGGCCUAAGUUGAAUUGUUCUCGGGGUGUGCUCUUGUUCCAUUGACUGGGAUGAAACCUCAUUUACCUCUCAACUAUGUAUUGACGAGUUAAUGUUUUGCCCUUGCUCCCCCCACUUUUCACUACUCCCCUCCAUAACUUGGGAGUCAUUCUCCCUU